AAGUCGUAACAAGGUUUCCGUAGGUGAACCUGCGGAAGGAUCAUUAUCAACGUUAUCCACGUUAAUAAUCAAUCGUGAACUGUUUAUCUUGCCUCCAGUUGCGGUGAAUGAGUUUGCUUUCGAUUAAUGUCUCAGUCUGUCUAACACACUGAGGGGCCUCUUUGAUAAUCAAGUGGUUUUUGGGCCUAGUUAAUCGAUCGCCUACAGUACGGCUGCAUUCACUGUUUCUGGUUGUAAUUCUUUAAACUGCUUUUCUUUUUCUUAUUUACCAUUUCAACAAUACCUUUUUCAAUUAACAAUUGAAACUGAAUUGUUUCAUAUUUCCUUUUCGGAAACGAAAGGAGAUUGAAAUGAAAAAAUACGAAAAAUUAUAGAACAACUCUUAGCAACGGAUAUCUUGGUUCUC
rnacentral:misc_RNA from 1 species